rnacentral:misc_RNA from 1 species
GGUAGAGAUUUGUAUUCCUAAAUAGGGAAGAGUAAUUAGAGGAGAUUUGUGUAUAAAUAUGUACUCUUAUUUCAUGAAUCAAUCAAUCAGCUUUUCUCCCUCAAUUACAUGGUAGCAAAGCUUAAAUUGAAGACAGAAAAUUUUUUUUCCCCUCUACUCUGUUUUUCACCAAUAACUGUAACUCUAGGUCACCAGCCUUGGGUGACAUUCUUGCCUCACUGCCAGUCCUAUGAGGGAGUCGUAUUGCGGAUGGAGUCAGACUGCUGACUGUCCUCCCAGUGAAGACUGGUGGGCGGCAUUGCGAGUGGUCCUCAAGCGCGGUUUCUUCAUUCCUGCACCUUUCCCUUGCACCAGCGAGUGGCAGUGCGUAGGCUACUAUUUCCUUCUCCGGUGACCUCUCCUGGUGUUGCCUCAACAUUCUCAGUGCAGCCUAGUGAGCUGCUGUUGGAUCUUGUGUACCGUAAUCGGUGCUCUAGGUAGCUGCAACUCCUGACUUG